rnacentral:rRNA from 1 species
CUCCGGUGAUCCCUGCCGGACCCGACUGCUAUCAGAGUGGGACUAAGCCAUGCGAGUCAACGUAGCAAUACGUGGCAUACGGCUCAGUAACACGUAGUCAACAUGCCCAGGGGACGAGGAUAACCUCGGGAAACUGAGGAUAAACCUCGAUAGGCCAUGAUUUCUGGAAUGAUUCUUGGCUCAAACCUAUAUGGCCCCUGGAUUGGACUGCGGCCGAUCAGGCUGUUGGUGAGGUAAUGGCCCACCAAACCUAUUACCGGUACGGGCUCUGAGAGGAGGAGCCCGGAGAUGGGCACUGAGACAAGGGCCCAGGCCCUAUGGGGCGCAGCAGGCGCGAAACCUCUGCAAUAGGCGAAAGCUUGACAGGGUUACUCUGAGUGAUUUCCGCUAAGGGAAUCUUUUGGCACCUCUAAAAAUGGUGCAGAAUAAGGGGUGGGCAAGUCUGGUGUCAGCCGCCGCGGUAAUACCAGCACCCCGAGUGGUCGGGACGAUUAUUGGGCCUAAAGCAUCCGUAGCCGGUCCUGCAAGUCUUCCGUUAAAUCCAGCUGCUCAACAGAUGGGCUGCGGGAGAUACUACAGGGCUAGGAGGCGGGAGAGGCAAGCGGUACUUUAUGGGUAGGGGUAAAAUCCGCUGAUCCAUAGAAGACCACCAGUGGCGAAGGCGGCUUGCCAGAACGCGCUCGACGGUGAGGGAUGAAAGCUGGGGGAGCAAACCGGAUUAGAUACCCGGGUAGUCCCAGCUGUAAACGAUGCAGACUCGGUGAUGGGUUGGCCUCGCGCCUGCCCAGUGCCGCAGGGAAGCCGUUAAGUCUGCCGCCUGGGGAGUACGGUCGCAAGACUGAAACUUAAAGGAUUGGCGGGGGAGCA